UGCUGUCUUAGGCAGCAAAUAUACUAAAAUUAGAACGAUACAGAGAUUAGCAUGUCCCCUACACAAGGAUGACAUGCGAAUUUGUGAAGUGUUCCAUAUUUUU